AGAGUUGUAUCCUGGCUCAGGAUGAACGCUGGCGAGAUGCCUUAUACAUGCAAGUCGUACGAGAGUUUUUAACUCUAGUGGCGGACGGGUGAGUAACACGUGAGAAUUUGCCUUUAGGAGGGGGAUAACAAUUGGAAACGAAUGCUAAUACCCCAUAUGCUUUCGAGUGAAAUGGAUUUAUAUUUAUCCGCCUAGAGAGAAGCUCGCGGCUGAUUAGCUUGUUGGUAAGGUAAGAGCUUACCAAGGCGACGAUCAGUAUCUGGUUUGAGAGGACGAUCAGACACACUGGAACUGAGACACGGUCCAGACUCCUACGGGAGGCAGCAGUGGGGAAUUUUCCGCAAUGGGCGAAAGCCUGACGGAGCAAUACCGCGUGAGGGAAGACUGCCUAUGGGUUGUAAACCUCUUUUUUCAGGGAGGAAUCAAUGACGUGUACCUGAAGAAUAAGCAUCGGCUAACUCCGUGCCAGCAGCCGCGGUAAGACGGAGGAUGCAAGUGUUAUCCGGAAUCACUGGGCGUAAAGCGUCUGUAGGUGGUUUAAUAAGUCAACUGUUAAAUCUUGAGGCUCAACUUCAAAAUCGCAGUCGAAACUAUUAGACUAGAGUAUAGUAGAGGUAAAGGGAAUUUCCAGUGGAGCGGUGAAAUGCGUAGAUAUUGGAAAGAACACCGAUGGCGAAAGCACUUUACUGGGCUAUUACUAACACUCAGAGA
rnacentral:rRNA from 1 species